UGGGCUCGGCCACUCGGACCUCCGAAGUCGCCUUCUGCUCCCGGAGACUCCGGCCCCCGCCCCCAGCUCCCGGCCCGCAGCCGGAGCGGGGUCUCCGCGGGAAUGCGCCCCAACACCCGAGCGCCCGUGCGACGCGAGGCCGACGCAGCCGCUCCCCGCGCCUCGGGCUCCCCAUGUGCCCUGCGGAUUCUCACUCUCCUGAGAGCUACCUGAGAACCAGAAAGUGCUGAAGCCUCCAAGGCGGUCAGGUGUCCACCCCACGAACUCAACGCGAGGACCACUGAGCUGCCGCCCAGCCUCACCCACCGGGAGACAGGCGUAGCUGAUAACCUCCUGAGCCCGGCGAUGAGCCCAGGGGUUUGUCAUCCACUGUGACACAGCCAGUCCUUGGAACACAUCUGGGUCCAGCAGCUCCUGACUGCCUCUGGACACAGAGUGAAAAGGCCUCGCUGGUCUCACCUCAGUCAGCCUGGAGAGGUGGUGACAUCCAGGUGUAUUUGCCACUGACCGAAGGGAUCCUCUAGAGC